AUGGAGGCCGCUGCUGGGGCGUUGAGCCCUGUCCUCCGUAAGCUCGGUGAGCUGCUCGCCGGAGAAUACAACCUGGAGAAGCGAGUAAGGAAAGGUGUACAAUCACUUCGUACAGAACUGGAGAUGAUGCACGCCGUACUUCGUGAGGUUGGCAAGGUGCCGCCGGAUCAGCUCCAGGAGCCGGUUCGGAUUUGGGCUGGCAAGGUGAGAGAUCUAUCUUGCGACAUGGAAGACGCUGUUGACGACUUCCUGGCGCGUGUGGGUGAGGGUUCAGGCAGCAAGCCAACGGACAUGAGGAGUCGAGUCAAUAAGUUCCUCAAGAAGACCACCGAACUGUUUGGAAAGGACAAAGCACUUCAUCAAAUCUGUGAUGCCAUCAAUGAAGCUCAAGAUCUUGCUAAGGAGUUGGCGGACAUGCGUAAAACGUACAAGCUUGACAUGUGUAGCACUACCGACUGUGCUACCAUUGAGCCCUACCAUAUAACUGGUCGAGAUAUGGAGGUCGCUGCUGGGGCGAUGGGCCCCGUCAUCCGUAAGCUCGGCGAGCUGCUUGUCGGAGAAUACAACCUAGAGAAGCGAGUAAAGAAAGGCGUACAAUCGCUCCAAAAUGAGCUGGAGAUGAUGCACGCUGUACUUUGCAAGGUUGGCGAGGUGCGGCCGGACCAGCUCGAGGUGCCAAUCCGAAUUUGGGCUGGCAAGGUGAAAGAACUCUCUUGCGACAUGGAAGAAGCUAUUGACAACUUCAUGGUGCAUGUGGAUGAGGGUUCAAGCAGCAAGCCAGCAAACAUGAGUGAUCGAGUCAAGAAGUUCCUCAAGAAGACCACCAAAUUAUUUGCUAAGAUCAAAGCACUUCAUGAAUUACGUAAUGCCAUAAAAAAAGCUCAAGAUCUUGCAAAGAAGUUAACAGACCUGUGUAAAAGGUACGAGCUUGACAUGUGCAGCACCAGCAAUGGUGCUACCAUUGACCCUCGUGUGUUAGCUCUGCAAAAAGAUGAAGGGGAGCUUGUUGGACUUGACCACACAAGGGAUGAGCUUAUCAAAACACUGAUUUCUGAGGAAGGGAGUUCUAUGGAGCAGUUGAAGACAAUCUCUAUUGUUGGUGUUGGUGGGCUGGGCAAGACAACCCUCACCAAAGCAGUUUUUGAGAAGAUCAAAGCCCAAUUUGAUUGUGCGGCUUUUGUCCAUGUGGGUCAGAACCCGGAUAUCAGGAAAAUUUUCAAGGACGUACUCUAUGGCCUUGACAAAGAGAAGUUCAAAGACAUUCAUAACACAACAAAGGAUGAAAAUCUACUCAAGGAUAUCAGUGAAUUCCUUGUGGAUAAGAGGUACCUAAUCGUAGUAGAUGAUAUAUGGACAGAAGAAAUAUGGAGAUAUAUAAGUUGUGCUAUGUAUAGAAACAAACUCCACAGCCGGGUAAUCACAACAACCCGCGAUAUGAGUGUGUCUCAAGCAUGUCUCUCUUUCCCGGAUGACAUGAUUCACAAGAUGAAACCACUUUCUGAUGAACACUCGCAAAUACUGUUCCAUCAAAGAAUAUUUCAAAGUGAGAAAUGUCCAGAAGAUCUGCAAGUAGUAUCGAGAGAUAUUUUGAAGAAAUGUGGUGGUGUACCAUUAGCCAUCAAUACAAUAGCUAGUCUCUUGGUUAGUAAUCAACGGGUAAAGCAAACAGAUGAGUGGAUACAUUUGCACAAUUCAAUUGGCCGUGGAGUUACACAAGGUGGUAUUAUGAAGGACAUGAGAAGGAUAUUAUCUCUAAGCUAUUAUGAUUUGCCAUCUCAUCUGAAGUCUUGUUUAUUAUAUAUAAGCAUCUUUCCUAAAGACUAUGAGAUUGAGAGAGAUUACUUGAUAUGGAGGUGGGUUGCCGAAGGUUUUAUUAAGUGUGACAAAGUAGAAAGCGGGCUAUUUGAGAUUGGAGAGAGCUAUUUCAACGAGCUCAUGAAUAAGAGCUUGAUUGAGCCAGUGAAAAUCAAUGAGGAAGGAAUGGUAGUAACUUUCCGUAUACAUGAUAUGGUGCUUGAUCUUCUAUGCUCAUUGUCAAGCGAUGAGAAUUUUGUCUCCAUAUUGGAUAAUGCUGAGUGGCAUGCACCUAAUCUGCAAACGAAAUUUCGCAGGUUGUCCCUUCAUAAUAUCAAGGCAGAGGUUCAGAACCAUCAGUUUGAUAGCACUAGAGUGUCAAAAGUGAGGACCUUUGCUGUUUUCUCUCCCGUUACCUGUGAUUGGUUGCCAUCUCUCUCAAGCUUCCACUUUCUACGUGUGUUGGAUCUUGGAAAUUGUGGCAGCCCUGAAAGUAGCUCUGGUAUCAGCCUCAAGUAUGUAGGGAAUUUAAUUCACCUAAGGUACCUAGGGCUGAAGAAUGCAGAUGUUCAAGAACUCCCCGUGGACAUAGGCAAGCUGCAGCUUUUGCAGACACUGGACAUACGAAAAACUAGAAUAAAAGAAUUACCUGCAAGUGUUGUUCAGCUAAGAAAAUUGAUAUGUCUGUAUGUCGAUGAUGGCUUGAGGCUGCCAAAAGGAAUGGGGAACUUGACGUCCCUUGAAGUGCUGGAACAAGUAAAGUUGACAUCAUCUCCUCACAUGGUGAGAGAGUUGAGCCAUUUAACAGAGGUUAGGACACUCACACUUAACUGUCGUCACUUUGACGAGGAUCUGAUCAAUAUAGAUAUAUUAAUCGAGUCUCUAGAGAAUCUGCACAAAUUGCAAAAUCUGGUUAUCGUUCGUGGUCGCAAAGUGAUGGAUCGCAUUCGCAUGCGUGAAAGCUGGGUGCCUCCUCCACACCUAUGUAGCUUUGAUAGUUUUGAGUCAUCGAGCCUCUUCCAAGGUUCAGUGUUCUCAAGACAUCCAAAGUGGGUCAAUUCAACAUCGCUUCCCCACCUCUCCACCCUGGCAAUAACUGUGUUCAAACUGCAAGAGGGUGACAUUCAGAUCAUUGCGAUGCUGCCUGCUCUUCGGUCUCUGCGGUUGUGUGGAAGACGUGUGAUGGGAACGUUGGUUGUGAUGGCUGACGCAUUCCCAUGUGCAAGAUUCUGCACAUUCACCGGGUUUCUGACGCCACCGUGCCUUUUUCCACCUGGAGCCAUGCCAAAGGUUGAGCACCUUGGUUUUGAGGUCUUUGCACAGUCGAUCGCGAGUGGUGAGCUUGACUGUGGCAUGGGGCAUCUCCCUUCUCUCGAGCAUGUUGAGGUUGUUCUGGGGCAUGAUAAUUCCAGCGAUGAAGAGAUAGAGACAGCCAGGGCUUGGCUGAGGUGCGCAGCAGAAGCCCAUCCAAAUCGUCCCACCAUUGAAAUCCAGACAUAUGCUGGGUGA
rnacentral:rRNA from 1 species